rnacentral:rRNA from 1 species
AUUGAACGCUGGCGGCAUGCCUUACACAUGCAAGUCGAACGGUAACAGGUCUUCGGAUGCUGACGAGUGGCGAACGGGUGAGUAAUACAUCGGAACGUGCCCAGACGUGGGGGAUAACGAGGCGAAAGCUUUGCUAAUACCGCAUACGAUCUAAGGAUGAAAGCAGGGGACCGCAAGGCCUUGCGCGUUUGGAGCGGCCGAUGGCAGAUUAGGUAGUUGGUGGGAUAAAAGCUUACCAAGCCGACGAUCUGUAGCUGGUCUGAGAGGACGACCAGCCACACUGGGACUGAGGCACGGCCCAGACUCCUACGGGAGGCAGCAGUGGGGAAUUUUGGACAAUGGGCGAAAGCCUGAUCCAGCAAUGCCGCGUGCAGGAUGAAGGCCUUCGGGUUGUAAACUGCUUUUGUACGGAACGAAAAGGCUCUGGCUAAUACCUGGGGCACAUGACGGUACCGGAAGAAUAAGCACCGGCUAACUACGUG